rnacentral:lncRNA from 1 species
UGAGGAGAUUGAUCAGUUCAAUGAUGAUACAUUUGGGUCAGGUGCAGUUGGUAAGUGGCAUCUUUUGUGUAUGUAUGUGUUGAGAUUGAACCCAGGGCCUUGCACAUGCCAGGCAAGCACUCUACCAACUGAGCUAUAACUCCAGCCCAAGAGGCUUAUAGUUUCAUCUUCAUCUCUUGCUCAAAUACUUUGUCUUAGAAGGAGUAACCUUAUUCACUAAUUUGGCAAGUUAAUCUUGAUCUCGGUGAGAAUAGUAUGUCCUUUACUCAGAAUAGUUCAUCCUCCUAUUGUGCUCUUCUGGUUGGUCAUCUUUUAUUCUCUAAGCCCUAUGUCUUCCAGCUAUCUGGUUUUGAUUCUCGGUUGCCACCAUAAGGAAUUCAGAUGUUUAGAUCAAUAGACAUUUGAAAGAGAUUUUAAAUAAUUCUAAAUAAAAGGAAUUUUUAUUUGGAGAAGAUGUAACCUAAGGAAAACUCAUGGACUAAUAGAGAAUUCAGAUUCUAGUAUUCUGCAUGUUCUACAUUUAGCCCAACACCAGUACAUGGUUGUAUUUAAUAAAAUAAAAAGCUUUUAAUUCCAAGAAUUUUAGCAAUAGGAAAUCUUCAUAAGUUUGAAAAGUAUUGUAAACAAAUGAAAUUUUAUCCAUCUCCAGAUAUAGAUUAAAUAUUGUAAGAGCUGAAAAAAGUUAAAAGAGCUAAAGUAGACUUAAAGCUACAGAGUUGUAAAUGCUGGGAUAAAACAAUUAAGAAGCAAGGCUAUAUGAUUACAUUUGAGAACAAAAUUUACUUAGAACAAAUUUAGAGCAAGUUAACUAAGUAUUAGAAAUUUAUACUUUUUAAAGAAAUGAAUAGAUCAGAGUCAAUGUAGAUAUUGUUGUUUUGACUUAGUGUUGGAAAGCAGCAAUAGCAGUGUUUAUAUUGUGGUGUGUCAAUAUUUGUAAUUUCUUUAGAAUUGCAGCAACAAAUAUUCAAAAUUAAAUAAGGAAGAAGAGGAAAUGUAAAACAGUGGGUGAUACCAAUGUGUUAGUAUCAAAAACAAAGGUUUUAUAAAAGUUAUAGUGGAUAGUGUUUUGUGAUGACUUUAUAGCUUAGGUUUGUGAAAGCUUGCACAGAGUUGAAUGAACUGGCAAAAAUGAAAAAGUUUACUACUAGUCUUCCAUUUAUAAAAUUAAGUAGAAACUGUGACUUUGUCAUGAUCUAGAGCAGCAAGAAGAAUGUUAAAAGUAUAAACUAGACUCAUUACAGAAAGGAAAUAAAGAUCCUAUGGAUUGUAGUCAUAGUUUAGGAGAUGAGAUUGCCCAUCUCCACGGAGAUGGCAGGGAAAGCUAUGAAGAAUAGAAUUACAAAUGGAGGGAACUACACAUCCAUUGAUUUACAUAUUGCCAUACUAGUUGUAACUGAUGUGAUUCUGCAAUCUGUAUACGGGGUAAAAAUGGGAGUUCAUAACCCACUUGAAUCAAAGUGUGAAAUAUGAUAUAUCAAGAACUAUGUAAUGUUUUGAACAACCAACAAUAAAAAUUUUUAAAUAAAUAAAUAAAUAAAAAACAAAUGGAGGGAACUAAUGUGAAUUGCAAAUUGCAUAAUAACCUAGACAAUAAAAGUCAUAACAUUGUAUUCUUGGUUCUAAACUUUUUCUUUUAAAACAUGUACUGGGUAUUAAAUCAUUUUUCAGCACAUUCUUCAGUUGAUGAAAUUGGUCAAUUGAAAUUGAUUCAUUGCUACUAUAUUAAGAUGAAACAACAUAGUAAUGUGUCCUUCCUUAGUUUUGAACUUGGACAGAGAGAAAUGGGUCCUGCCUUCUCAUGGACUUCCAGAGUGCUAAGGGCAGUUCCUCCCCACCCCCCGGAGUUUCUGUUUUUCCUUCAAGACAAGAAUAUUGCCUUUAAAAGAAUAUUAGAAUGUGCAGAACUGUAUUUUAUAUGAUAGGAAAGAAGUAUAAGUCCACAGUGCUCUUGGGUGCACAGUGAAAGAACAGGUAGUAAAAUUAAAGGCAGUGAAAUAGCAUAUGGUUAGUUUGCUUUGUACCAUAGGGUAGAAGGGUAUUAAGAAGGACUUCUUGGUUGGCCAAGGUUAUAAUAGAGAAAAGAUGUCACAGGUGAGCGCUUUUCAUUGAGAGUGUAGUAUACUUGAAUUGUAAGGUGAAAAUCUUAAUUCUUCAAAACAUCUUUAUAUAAAUAUUUUAAAAAGAAAAUUGCUAAGUCUACCUGUGAUAUGUUUGGCACACUUCUUACAGAUUUAGCUGGUAGAGGAAGUUUAAGCCAGUAGAUGAAAUGUUAGAUCUUUGACAUAGGUUUUGAUUGAUAAUUUUUAAUUCAUGGAGCUGACAUCUUGAACAACACCUGUUUAUACCGUGGAUAUUUUAGGUCACUGGCUACAAAAGCUCUGAUAUCACCUUUCCAUAGGACACUAAUCAUUGGUCUACUCCCUUUAAAAAAGUUUGCAUCAUCUCGAAGCAAUAAAUGGUGUUAGAGUGAUCCCAAACUCAUUCUCUGAAAAUAAAAGUUUACACCUUACAUGGUUCUUAUUAUGUGCUUGGUAUCGUUUUAAUUGUUUUACAUGUUAUUAAUUCUCACAGUAACCUUCUGAGGUAGUUAUCAAUAUUAUCCUCAUUUUCACAAAUGAGGAAGCAGAGUUACUGAGAGAUUAAGUAAUAAAUACAGUCAGUAUAAAUUACCAGUUAUGUUAAAACAGUCUUUGGGGAAUCUUUGGAAAUCUCUUGCCUUUGCUUGGAUGGGCUUCUCAUUCUUUCUCCUUCCCUUUUCUUGAUAGCUGCUGUAAUCUUUGGGGACUGAGAUUGCCUUAAAAUUAAAUCACUUCUAUUUCCUUUUUAUUUUCUUUUCAUUCAGAAAUAUCCCAGACAGGCCUGGGAGGCAUUAAAGUAUAAGUGUUUGAAAAAGCAGCGUGGAGUUCAGUAGCCCACAUCACAGUACAGGGUCAUUAGUUGGAAGAAUACAGAUACUCCUUUUCCUUCAUUUCUCUGCUAUUCUUUUGCCUAUGCUUUAGCCUUUUAACCAAUGAUGCAAUAAGGUCAAGUGUUGGCACAUCUAAGUAACUAUAUUUUUAGGUCAUUUGAAGAAGUAACAGAGUGAAAUAUUCUUUCAAACUAAGGGCAUGAGUCCUCUCCUGAUUUUUUUCAUAAGAACAACCAAAAAUAAUGUUGGCAAUGUUUUAUGGCAUAGAUUCCUUUGCAUCCAUGUUUAAAAUGCCAACAGUCACCAGGCAUGGUGGUACACUCCUGUAAUCCCAGCAGCUCAGGAGGCUGAGACACAGGGAUCACUAGUUCAAAGCCAGCCUCAGCAACAGCAAGGAGCUAAGUAAUUCGGUGAGACCCUGUCUCUAAUAAAAUGCAAAAAUUGGGCUGGGGAUGUGGCAGAGUGGUUGAGCGCCCCUGAGUUCCAUCCCUGGUACCCCCUCUCCCCCCCCAAAAAAAUAGGGUUGGGGAUGUGGCUGAGUGGUUGAGUGCCCCUGAGUUCAAUCCCCAGUACCAAAAAAAAAGCAAUAGUCAGUUCACAAUAUGUCCAUUUUUACAGAACAUGACUAUUUAGACUAUUUUUAAAUGUUAUUUUUAAGUGCAAAUAAAUUAUUUGGUAGAAUCUGGUAAAGUUAGCAAAUAUGAAUAUGGGGAGUGGCUACCAAAGAUAAUUUAGAACUCUACUACAUUAAAACUAAUCCACUAACAAAUUAAUGGUUUAAAUUUGGGAAACUUAAAAAUAUAUAUUGUUUUAAUCCUGAAUUCAGGAUUAUAGACUCCCCACUCUUCUUGGCAUAGCUGUUACAUUUCAAAAAAAAAAAAAAUUAUCCUUUUUCAGCUUACUUUUUUUUUUUUUUUUUUUUAGCAAGGAUGACACCAAUAUUAAAGUCACAAUCAUUUAUUACACUAUUCCUUAAGAACGUUUCAGAUGACUGGUCAUUUAAAUUAGUACUAUAAUUUUCAUCUAAAAUGGAUUUUUCCCUUUUUUAAGCACAUCUAGGUAUGUUUAUUGAGACCAUUAUAAUGAAGUGGUUACUUCAAGUUCUUUUCUGUAAGAGGAAAUUUCAGAGGAAGAGUGCCACCUGACUAAGCACUUUGUAAGAGGAAGCUUUUGGAUGGGAAAGAAAAUUCCACAUAAGAAUGAAAACACAUAUCUUAGAGGCUUAGAUAGGGAUAUUUUGUGACUCUUGCCCACAGCCUUUAUUACAGAAAUGGCAAAGUGAUCCCUAUUUAAGAAACCCCUUACCAUAGCUCCUAUAUUGUAUAUCACAUUGACUAAAGAGCAGACAGUGGAUCCUGGGAUAACACAAUUGUAAAUUUGAAAUCCCACUUCCCUUGCUUUUUGGAUCAAUAGGGUUAUGUGAUAUAUUAUUAUAUUAUAAAAAUAGCAAAUUUUAAAUGCUUAGUCUGACCCUGCAGCGGAAUUAGCCUACUUAAAUAUUCAUUUGAGAUGCUGUGGUAUGUAUAAGGUUAUUUAUGGUAUUGAUUGUUAUAGUAAAAAGUUGCAAAUCAUCCAGAUGGUUUUUCAGUAGGGAAUAAAUUACAAUUCAGUUCAUCAAUAGAAUGCAAUCUUACAUAUAUGUUUAAAAGAAUGAGAUAAUAUUUUCAGCAGUUAUAUGUGUAUACACGUAUGCAUGCUUGAAAGUAUAUCCAAGAAGAAUCAAGUUAAACUACAGAUUGCAUUCUUAAAAUCUGAACAGAGCUGUGGAAUUAUGAAGAACUUUCACAUUCUAAGUCAUAUAUUGUGAUGUUUGAAUUUUUUUAAUCUGUAUUUUAUUUGUAAACAGAAAGAAGACAAUAUAGAUUUCUGUGUUAGCUACAAAGGGGAUUACCUGUUAUCCCUGAAUGUGGAAUUUUAUAGAACAUACAAGACAUAUAACUAAAGUAAGAAUAGAGUACAUAGCUUAUACAGAAGAGUACAUUUAUGUGCAUUAAAGUAGCACGUAUAGGUGAGAUGAAAAUUUAAAUAUUUUGGAAAGCUUAAUGAGGAGAAAGAGGUUUCUGCAUUUGAAUGCUAAAAGAAGCAGAAUUGUGAGUAGUGCUUUUAUGAUAGAAAUAGAAUAGAAUGAUUAGAUCCAAGAGAACUGGAGUGAGAGUUUUCAUUCUAGAGAAUUUGAUGAAGGGUUCACAAGAUUUUAGUCUGUGUGGUAAUGGGACUCAAAAGUCAAUGCUAUAUCAGCAUAAUAAAUAAGAAAACAAUGUUAGUGCUGCAGACCAAAUAGCAAUGUGCAGGAAUAGCAAAGACAUAAUUAAAAUAGAAGAGGAAUUGGCCUUAGUCAAAGUUUCAUCCCCUCUCCCUUGGCUAGUGGAUACUCCCUUACAGUAGCCACCUGACUUCCAGCAUUCCCCCCAACACUUCUCCUCUAAUCUGCUUUUAAUUCAGUAGCCUUAGUGAUUCUUUCAAAAGUUAACCCAUCAGCUCUGCCCCAUUUUGGAGUGGAGUCGAAGACCCUGAAUAACCUCCCUCCUCCAGACUCUGACUUUAUUUUGUUCUACUCUUCCCUCUUGCUCAUUCCUUUCCAUUUGACUGUUUACCCUCUUAUUGUCAUAUUCGUUGAGUCUCUGCUCAAAUGUCAUCUCAGUGCAGACUUCUUCUGAAUAUCUAUUUUUUUCGAUUUGCCUUUCUUCCAUAUUCCUGUAGCAUUUUGCAUCUUCUAAUACAGUAUCUAAUUUACUUCCUCAUUAUUUUUAUUGUCUAUUAUCUGUCUCUCCCCUGCUUUAAUGAAAAAGCUAUAUGAGAGAAGGUCCCUGCAUUCUGUCCGUCUACACAAAAAAUAAAUUUUUAAAAAAUCAGGUAAAGAAAAUAGCAGUUACAAUUUAAGAGACAGUUAUACUAGUACUACAGAUUUUACUUUCCUUUGAAGUUUUUGUGUGGAGUAUUGUAAAAUCUCAAAACCAACAGGUGGUCUUAUACUUACGUGUCGCUAGUUUGUUUUUUUAAUUAUAGUAUUAGGGAUUGAAUGUAAUGGUACUUUACCACUGUGCUACAUCCCCAUCCCUUUUUAUUUUUAUUUUGAGGCGAGUCUCACUCAGUUGAUGAGGCUGGCUUCGCACUUAAAAUCCUCCUGUCCCAGCCUUGCUCCUGUAGCUGGGAAUACAGGCAUAUGCAACUAUAUCUGACUUUGUAUCACCAUUUUAGAAAUCAAUUUCAGACUGUAAUUUGGACACCACUAAUAAUGUUUUAAGUCAUUAAGCCAAAUUUUGUUCUUGGCAUUGUAUUUUUUGUUCUUAAUAAUGAAAAGCCCACUUUAUGUGUUCCUUGUUUCAACCUUAUUUCAUGUCUUUAAAUAAAUGGAAGCUUUAUUUGCUGUCUAUCUUCUGGAGCUGGGUUAUCAUUUGGUUAAAGGAAGAAUUUUAUAUAUAAAACCUUUGUUUUGAUAUGAACUGUAUUUCUUAUACCACGCUAUUGUCUUAUAGAUGAUGAUUGGCAGGAAGCACAUGAACGCCUGGCUGAGUUGGAAGAGAAGCUACCAGUGGCAGUUAAUGAACAAACAGGCAAUGGAGAAAGGGAUGAGAUGGACUUGUUGGGUGACCAUGAGGAGAAUUUGGCAGAAAGACUCACUAAGAUGGUGAUUGAAAAUGAACUAGAAGAUCCAGCUAUUAUGCAGGCAGUGCAGACCAGGCCAAUUUUGCAAGUGAGUAAUUUACUCUUAUUUGAGAACUAUAGUCGACUAUUAAAAUAUUGAGCUUUGCCAUUAUCACUUAUGUCAUAGAAAAUUCAUAAUAUGAUUACUGAUGAUAGUAAUUCUGGAAAUAAAAUUGGGGAAUAAUGUGUGUUCUGGAGCACUAUAAUUUCUUGUCAACUACUUGCCAGUAAAAACCUUGGACCCUUGUUCCCUAAUAGCAGAUGAGUCACCCAGAGACCUCACAGUAUUGCAGAAUUUGUAUAUAUGUGUUUUGUUUGUUUGUUUGUUUGGUAGCCUCAACCAGGAAGUCUGAAUUCCAGCAUCUGGGAUGGAUCCGAAGUUCUGAGGCGAAUCCGAGGACCACUUCUUGCUCAGGUAUUAAAAAGUUUCUCAUUAUAUAAAAUUACUAGUAUUAUAAAAUGUUAAGUUGACUCCUGUUGUCAUUUUUCUUUACUGUGAACAUGUCGAUAUUUAUCAUUUGCCAGUAUUAUGUCAACUACUGCAUCCAGUACUUAGACGGCUCUCUCUGUUGAUGUGCCCUUUAUCAGCCCCCAGGGUAAAAAUUGAGAGGGAGCCAUUGGAACUCAUGUUGUCAGUAUAUGAUUUAAAUUAUUUUAAAAGUCUAGGCAGGGACAGAGAAGAGAUCAGGGUUUGCCAGUGGUUAGAUGUGGCACAAGGCAUUAACAGUAAAAGAACAAAAGAAGGGGAUUUUGCAGAGUGAUAAAAUUGUUCUCUGGAGGCAACAUCUCUUCUAUGUAUUUAUCAAAACUCAAAAAAAUUGUAUACCAAAGACUGAAUUUUUCUACAUGUGAAUUAAAAAAAAAAAAGCUGGUGCAGUGAUGCAUUCAUGUAAUCUCAGUGAUAUAGGAGGCUGAGGCAGGAGGAUCUUGAGUUCAAAGCCAACCUCAGCAACUUAUGAGGCCCUAAGCAACUUAGUGAGACCCUGACUCAAAAAAAUAAAAAGGGCUAGGGAUGUGGUUCAGUGGUUAAGCACCCCUGGGUUCAAUCCCUGGUACCAAAAGUAAAUAAAUAGAUAAAUAAAUUAUAAAAUUUUUUUAAAAAGUAUUUUUGACAUCUGUAGAGAUUAUUAAAACAUUUCAAGUUAGCUAAUUUCUGUUUGUUUUGGGGUUUUUUUUUUAACUACUUCCUCAUUAGGAAAUGCCUACAGUGUCUGUACUAGAGUAUGCCUUGCCUCAGAGGCCCCCACAGGGCCCAGAAGAUGAUCGGGAUCUUUCGGAGCGAGCAUUACCAAGGCGUUCAACUUCACCUAUCAUUGGGAGUCCUCCAGUUAGAGCUGUGCCCAUAGGCACCCCACCUAAGCAGAUGGCUGUACCCAGCUUCAACCAACAGGUACCUCUCAUUAACAGGCACUCAGCCCAGGAUAUUGGGCAUCUGGGCAAAAUUAUUUGGGAAAUGGGUGAUACUGGGAGGAGGGUGGAGAUUUUGGGUAGGCUUUAGAUUAGAAAGCAAAAUAGCCAAUUAUAGCCAAUUAGCAGAGAAGUUAGUACAAAUAAGAGACACAUUCCCGAAUAGCCUUUGCUGCUGUUGUUGCUGCUGCCUUUUAAUUGGGGGAGGAAAAGGGUAGUUAAGCACAUUUAGGGCUUAUGUACUUUUUAAAGUGUUUUACUGGCUGCCCAACACUUUGGCAGAGAGAUAACUGAAAGCUGGGGGGGAUGGGAACACUCAGCAUUGUCCACAUCCCUUUUUACCUUUAAGAUAUCCCUGCUUUCCCUAGAGCCUGUGCAGUCCUGUUCCAUAGACUUUCCUCCACCUGAAACCAGCAGCUGAAAAGGAAGGCCAAUUUGGAAGGUAUGGGGGGAGGGUGGUGUUGGUAUGGCCUAGUUAGGCUCAAUUAUCUAUGAAAUAAAUGGUGGAGUCACAAUGUAUCAUGAAAUUGCUGAGCAUGGCGGCCAUAUCACAGAGGCUUCAGAAUAGGACUUAGUUAAUCCUCCAGCUUUCUUAUCAUUCCUUCUCGCUCACUGCUACCAAAAUACAUCCUCUUGGAGAGAAUUUGCAAGUCAGAAUAUCUGCUGAUAUCUCCCUCAGAUAGCAUGGAAGGGUGGGGAUAACUGGAGAAUUAGCUAAAUCUUCCUCAGACUUUUCUUGAUUUGUGAGAGGAAGUUAUCAAAGGUUCUGGGUUUGAAUCCAUAGUUAUAGCAGUCUGCUUAGAAGUAGGGCUUUGCAUUGAGUUCUGUGUCUCUACCAGUACUUGAGGGGAGGGAGUGUAGGUGGAAGAAAAACUGAUUUCAUUGAGUGUAGUUGUAUAUAUGUUUGUCCUAAUAGAUUCUGUGUCCGAAGCCUGUCCAUGUUCGGCCCCCAAUGCCACCACGUUAUCCUGCUCCCUAUGGUGAGAGGAUGUCUCCAAACCAGCUCUGCAGUGUCCCGGUAUGUCUCUUUACAGUCUAACAAAAAAGUGAAGUAUGUACUUUGUGGUCACUGCCUGUGUGAUUCAGUAUGUAGAAGUGCUAACAUCUCCUAUGGAACACUUAAAUUUUAUAAUCUCCAUCCUUGAAUUUCUGGGUCUUAUGGUCCCCUGGUCAGAAGACAUAGUUUAUGUGUUUCUUAGCACUACUCUUUAAAAAUCUAAGCUCUUUCUCGUCAUCUGGUUUCAUGUUAACUUCAACUCUCAUUCUAAUUUCUUUUUUGUUUUAUGUGGCCAUAAUGUUUCAUAAUUUCUAGCAUUAUUCUUUUUAUUUCUUCAGUAGUGUGUGCUACAAUUUGAGAAUUUUACAAUCUAAGUUUAUACUGCAUUUCUACUGAGUUCCCUUAUUACAUUGAUUUACCUGUUUCAUGAUAUAAUUGUUUCCUUACUUUAUUUUUUUCCUUAGAACUCUUCCCUCCUGGGUCACCCUUUUCCUCCUACUGUUCCUCCGGUUCUCAGUCCCCUCCAGAGAGCACAGCUUCUUGGAGGAGCACAGGUAAGCCUGUGAUUAGCUCUAUCCAUAAAGAACCCGCUUACUGUCUUAAGGUUCAUUAGGACAUAGAUGUUUUUGUUAGUAAACACCACUGUCUCUUAUUUUUGCCUUUAGUUUUUAAAACAAAGUUAUUGAUGGAAACAGUAUUCAAUUUUCAGCAAGCAGGUGAGCUUGCUGCUGAUUUAAGGUUAACUCAAUCUUAAGAUCUUGUUCCUCUUUUUAGCUACAGCCUGGUCGGAUGUCUCCCAGCCAGUUUGCACGGGUCCCUGGAUUUGUUGGUAGUCCUCUUGCUGCCAUGAAUCCCAAGUUGCUGCAAGGGCGAGUUGGGCAGAUGCUUCCCCCAGCACCAGGCUUCCGUGCCUUCUUUGGUGCUCCACCCUCUGCAACACCACCUCCACAGCAGCACCCUCCCGGCCCAGGACCUCAUCUGCAAAACCUAAGGUAUAUAAAACAUGCCAAUGUUUACCCAUUGCCAGCUAAGUCUCUUGAUAAUUCCAAUUUAGUUUUUUAAUAUAAAAGUCUCUUAAUAUUUUUUAAGUGAGGACUGGGGCUGUAGCUCAGUGGUAGAGCUCCUGCCUUGCACUUGUGAGGCACUGGGUUCAAUCCUCAGCACCACAUAAAAAUAAAUAAAUAAAGAUAUUCAUCACUAGGUCCCACCAAAAAUACACACACACACACAUACAUACACACACACAUACAUAUAUGAAUGUAUCUUGUAAGUGAAAUAUUUUGAGAUCCUCAAGUCGGGGUUUGACAGUUUAGGCUUUCUUAUGUCAUCAUCAAGAAUCAUGCAUCCUGUGCACAUUUAUACGUUACAAGUUACUCACCUUUUAUUUCUUCUAAAGUUUUUUACUUCUCAUUUCAUGUCCACUUUACAAACACACACUAAGAUAUGCACACAUGGUAUUGAUCACUUAAGAAUCAUAAGUAAGGAUGAGAGAUGUGAAUAAUGAGAAGUUUAAAAAAAUAAUAAUGAUAAGUUGGCAAGUCUUGGUAUCUGCUACAUUUUUUACUUCUACCUUCUGAUUUUAUAACAAGAGGAGCUCAAGUUCCUGCUUUGAUAAAAUUGUUUUUUAUUACAUACAUUGUAUUAUCAGGGUUCUCAAGAAAAAUAGAACCAGUAGGAAAAAAAUAGAGAAAGGGUUAAUUUUAUUUUAAGGAAUUAGCAAAUGUGAUUGUGGAAGCUGGCAAGUUAAAAAUUUAUAGGGCAGGCCAGAAAUCACUAAGAAUUGAAGUUGCAUUCUUGAGUUUGAAAUGUUAUAUGUUGGCAGGCUGGAGAUUCAGGCAAGACUUCUGUGUUCCAGUCUUGAUGCAGAAUUUCUUUGGAGACUUCUGUUUUUGUUUUUAAGGCAAAUAAACCUCUUGAGAGAACACUGUUAAACAGGAGCAAAAAGAAAAUCACAUGCUUUUUCUAAAAAAUUUCCUGAGAUUUCAUGAUCAUCCUCUUAGUUGAGAACUGGUCUUUGUGGAAGAUAGGUUUUUAAAAAGUGACUUUUUUACUUAGAGUCUCUUUAGAAUACACUUGGCAGUCCCUACUGAACCUAUGUGAAGUUAUCCUGUUCUGAUAGCAUUUGUGAAAACUUCAGAUCAUCAGGAUGACAGAAUGAAAGGCCUUUUUUUUUUUUUUUUUUUUUUUUUUUUUUUUUUUUUUUUUUUUUUUUUUUUUUUUUUUUUUUUUUUUUCAUUUUUUUCUUAGAUCUCAGGCCCCAAUGUUUAGACCAGACACAACUCACCUUCAUCCACAGCACCGGCGGCUCUUGCAUCAGAGACAGCAGCAGAACAGGAAGUAAGUACUCAGUGUAUUCCUUGGUGG